GAUGAACGCUAGCGGGAGGCCUAACACAUGCAAGCCGAGCGGUAUGGAUAGCUUGCUAUCCAGAGAGCGGCGUACGGGUGCGUAACACGUGUGCAACCUACCUUUAUCUGUGGGAUAGCCUUUCGAAAGGAAGAUUAAUACCCCAUAAUAUAAUGAUUGGCAUCAAUUAUUAUUGAAAACUCCGGUGGAUAGAGAUGGGCACGCGCAAGAUUAGAUAGUUGGUGAGGUAACGGCUCACCAAGUCAAUGAUCUUUAGGGGUCCUGAGAGGGAGAUCCCCCACACUGGUACUGAGACACGGACCAGACUCGUACGGGAGGCAGCAGUGAGGAAUAUUGGACAAUGGGGGAGAGCCUGAUCCAGCCAUCCCGCGUGAAGGAGGACGGUCAUAUGGAUUGUAAACUUCUUGUGUACAGGGAUAAACCUACCCACGUGAGGGUAGCUGAAGGUACUGUAUGAAUAAGCACCGGCUAACUCCGUG
rnacentral:rRNA from 1 species